AGCGAGAGACAGAGAGGGAGAGGGAGAGAGGGAGAGACAGAGACAGAGAGAGAGAGAGGGGAGAUAGAGAGAGACAGAGAGGGAGAGACAGAGACAGAGACAGAGAGGGAGGAGAGAGAGAGAGAGAGAGAGAGAGAGAGAGAGAGUGUGACUCACUCCACAUUGGGUGAACUUUAGCUCCUCCUGCACUUUCACUACUCAAAAAACAGCUCACAAACUUCAUCUUGCCAACAUUCAGUGCAGUGAUCAAGUCCAACCUGCUCGUCCUCAGUGUCUUUAACUCAUUGUGAAGUACACACUCUGUACCUGUGUGUUAUUAAACCUCUUACUACACCUCUAAACCUGAGAAGAGUCUGCUAAGUAUGUUUUAAAUAUAUCUUGUGGCUUUAGUUAAUUCAUCUGUGAUUGAGCACUGAAGAGAUUUUUUUAGUUUCAGGUGUAACAUGUGAUAGCAAAUAUAAUGCCUCAGAGAGACAAAGUGUUUUUGCAGGAGAAGACAUGAAGCAUCCUCCACUAUACACACUCAUCCUGCUUGUCGCGUUCCUCCACUACGGCUCCUCUUCAGACAGUGAUGAUCAGUGUGUACCUCUGUUUGUGACUGUUGGGGAAACAGCCAUCAUCAACUGCAGCAUCACAAAGAAAGAUCAGGACGGAGUUUUUUUGUACAGACGGCGAGAUGAGAAAAGCAGAGAGGAAACCAUGUCGUACUAUUUUAAAGACGGAACCUUUACCCCUGAGAAAAACUUCAAAGGCCGACUGGAGACUAAUAAGGAAAUUUCUCUGUGUCCAUGAAGAACAUGAGCGAGCACGACGGUGGAGUUUACUGGUGUCAGUUUAACCAACGUGAUGUAAAUACCAUCAGUCAGCGGACGUGUCUGUUAGUGCAGUCUGGAAUCAUACUGAUAUACAAAGAGGAAACGAAACUGAACCACUUUAUCUACUCGGGUGUGAUUGGUGGGCUGUCAUUCAUCAUUCUGAUCCUGCUGAUUGUACUGGUAAAGCAGUGUUAUGAUCGUGGACAUUACACACAGAAGCAGCAGCCCACUUCUAACGGUGUGGAUGAGGUCAUGCGUGAACACACUAGAAAAGCACUCAUUAACCCUGCGUAAGAAUCGACCCAGAGAUAAACACAUUUUGAUUUAUGUUAAUGAUUUGUGCUUACACUUUGUGAUUCAGAUUCACUGACACUAUGUGAUUCACUAACACUGUUAUUCACUAACACUGUGAUUCACCGACACUAUGUGAUUCACUAACACUGUGAUUCACCGACACUAUGUGAUUCACUAACACUGUGAUUCACCGACACUAUGUGAUUCACUAACACUGUGAUUCACCGACACUAUGUGAUUCACUAACACUGUGAUUCACCGACACUAUGUGAUUCACUAACACUGUGAUUCACUGACACUAUGUGAUUCACUAACACUGUGAUUCACCGACACUAUGUGAUUCACUAACACUGUUAUUCACUAACACUGUGAUUCACCGACACUAUGUGAUUCACUAACACUGUGAUUCACCGACACUAUGUGAUUCACUAACACUGUGAUUCACCGACACUAUGUGAUUCACUAACACUGUGAUUCACCGACACUAUGUGAUUCACUAACACUGUGAUUCACCGACACUAUGUGAUUCACUAACACUGUGAUUCACCGACACUAUGUGAUUCACUAACACUGUGAUUCACUGACAGUAUUUGAUUCACAAACACUGUGAUUCACUGACACUAUGUGAUUCAUUAACACUGUGAUUAACUGACAAUAUAUGAUUCACUAACACUGAUUAAAACAGAGAUUAUGUUUCAGAUCUCACACACACACAAACUCAUAAUAUUUGUUCAUUUAAAACUGCAUAUAUGUGUGUGUAUGAGCAACAUAAAGAUGAGUUUACAUUAACACUAACCCUUUUCUUUACUGUAAUCCACAGAUCAUGGUUAUCAGUGUUGUAAUGUAACGGAGUAUCUGUACUUUACUUCGCUAUUUAAAUUUAUGUCAACUUUUACUCCACUACAUUUCCUAGAUAAAAUGUCUACUUUUACUCCGUUAUAUUUCCACUAAUCAUCUUCGUUACUCGUUUCUACAAACUAAAAUCAGAAGAAAUGUGUGUGACUGCAAUAAGGGAUGUUUGGUGAAUCACUGCUCCUAGAUUACAUUACGCUCCGCACGCACUACGGAGAAGCACAGGGACGCGCAGCGUGCACGCGCAGUCAGAGCUGGAGGCGUUUAUCUAUAACGUUAAUCUGGUGAAAGCCGCAAAGACGGCAACCAAAAGCAGUGAAAUGUCACUAUUCUUAUUACUAGAGUUGUAGCACAAACAAAAUAUUAAUGCAAA